rnacentral:lncRNA from 1 species
UAGUGUUGUUUACCCCCCAUUUUUUGCUUCAUUGUGUCUCCAUUUGCCCUUCCCUUCUGCAGAUGCUGGCAGGGGAAAAGCCACAGGCACCAGCAAGGAGGUGUGGAUCUACUUUGAGCUGGAUAGCAGUGGAAAAAACAAUUUUUUUUCACCCAGUCGGAAGGGUGUUUCGACAAAAUGUCUGGAGCUUUGAACGCUGUGGGAGAACGGAGGUGUGCUAUUCAUCAAAGGUGCCGAUUCUGUCCGCGAAGCGGGAGUCGGAUUCAGCAGGGAGUCGGAUUCGGCACAAGCGCGGCAGCACCUCGUGGUCCGCGGUGUUAGUUGUUUUAUCAAGCACGAAGACUCAGACUUCAUUCCCCUAAUGGAGAGAGCACGGCUCUCUGUCUGAGUGAUAAGACUGUCAGAGAUUGAGCUCUUCAGAGAAGAGGCUGAAGACCAUCCAUAACAAGCCUGGAAGCCUGAGGUGAGUAAUAAACAUUCAUAAUACAAAGCUGGGAAGAGGAGA